rnacentral:rRNA from 1 species
AACGAACGCUGGCGGCAGGCUUAACACAUGCAAGUCGAACGCCCCGCAAGGGGAGUGGCAGACGGGUGAGUAACGCGUGGGAACAUACCCUUUCCUGCGGAAUAGCUCUGGGAAACUGGAAUUAAUACCGCAUACGCCCUACGGGGGAAAGAUUUAUCGGGGAAGGAUUGGCCCGCGUUGGAUUAGCUAGUUGGUGGGGUAAAGGCCUACCAAGGCGACGAUCCAUAGCUGGUCUGAGAGGAUGAUCAGCCACAUUGGGACUGAGACACGGCCCAAACUCCUACGGGAGGCAGAAGUGGGGAAUAUUGGACAAUGGGCGCAAGCCUGAUCCGGCCAUGCCGCGUGAGUGAUGAAGGCCUUAGGGUUGUAAAGCUCUUUCACCGAUGAAGAUAAUGACGGUAGUCGGAGAAGAAGCCCCGGCUAACUUCGUGCCAGCAGCCGCGGUAAAAC